rnacentral:rRNA from 1 species
GAGUUUGAUCAUGGCUCAGAUUGAACGCUGGCGGCAUGCCUUACACAUGCAAGUCGAACGGCAGCAUGAUCUAGCUUGCUAGAUUGAUGGCGAGUGGCGAACGGGUGAGUAAUACAUCGGAACGUGCCCUGUAGUGGGGAGUAACUAGUCGAAAGAUUAGCUAAUACCGCAUACGACCUGAGGGUGAAAGUGGGGACCGCAAGGCCUCAUGCUAUAGGAGCGGCCGAUGUCUGAUUAGCUAGUUGGUGGGUAAGGGCCACCAAGGCGACGAUCAGUAGCUGGUCUGAGAGGACGAUCAGCCACACUGGGACUGAGACACGGCCCAGACUCCUACGGGAGGCAGCAGUGGGGAAUUUUGGAUAAUGGGCGAAAGCCUGAUCCAGCAAUGCCGCGUGUGUGAAGAAGGCCUU